GAUGAAGAACGUAGCGAAAUGCGAUAAGUAAUGUGAAUUGCAGAAUUCAGUGAAUCAUCGAAUCUUUGAACGCACAUUGCGCCCGCUAGUAUUCUGGCGGGCAUGCCUGUUCGAGCGUCAUUUCAACCAUCAAGCCCCAGGCUUGUGUUGGGGACCUGCGGCUGCCGCAGGCCCUGAAAACCAGUGGCGGGCUCGCUAGUCACACCGAGCGUAGUAGCAUACACAUCGCUCAGGGCGUGCUGCGGGUUCCGGCCGUUAAACCCCUUUUUUACCCAAGGUUGACCUCGGAUCAGGUAGGAAGACCCGCUGAACUUAAGCAUAUCAAUAAGCGGAGGA
rnacentral:misc_RNA from 1 species